CCUACGGGAGGCAGCAGUGGGGGAUAUUGCACAAUGGGGGGAACCCUGAUGCAGCGACGCCGCGUGGGUGAAGAAGCGCCUCGGCGCGUAAAGCCCUGUCAGCAGGGAAGAAACUGACGGUACCUUAAGAAGAAGCCCCGGCUAACUACGGGCCAGCAGCCGCGGUCAUACGUAGGGGGCAAGCGUUAUCCGGAUUUACUUGGUGUAAAGGGGGCGCAGACGGCGAUGCAAGCCAGGAGUGAAAGCCCGGGGCCCAACCCCGGGAGUGCUCGUGGAACUGCGUGGCUGGAGUGCAGGAGGGGCAGGCGGAAUUCCUGGUGUAGCGGUGAAAUGCGUAGAUAUCAGGAGGAACACCGGUGGCGAAGGCGGCCUGCUGGACUGCAACUGACGUUGAGGCCCGAAAGCGUGGGGAGCAAACAGGAUUAGAUACCCCUGUAGUC
rnacentral:rRNA from 1 species